UACGAAGGGGGCUAGCGUUGUUCGGAAUCACUGGGCUUAAAGCGCGUGUAGGCGGGACGGCACGUCGGUCGCUGAAAGCCCCCGGCUCAACCGGGGAACGGGCGCCGAGACGACCGCCCUGGAGGGACGUAGGGGGACCUGGAACUUCCGGUGGAGCGGUGAAAUGCGUUGAGAUCGGAAGGAACGCCCGUGGCGAAAGCGAGGUCCUGGACGUCUGCUGACGCUGAGACGCGAAAGCCAGGGGAGCGAACGGG
rnacentral:rRNA from 1 species